rnacentral:snRNA from 2 species
GUCCCUUCGGGGACAUCCGAUAAAAUUGGAAUGAUAAAGAAAAGAUUAGCAUGGCCCCUGGGCAAGGAUGACACGCACAAAUCAAAAAAUGGUCCAUAAUUUU